AACAUUCUAGAACUGAAGUAUGAAACAGUUGGUUCGUACCCUUCGAAUCAAUAGACUGGCCAUAUCCUAUUAAAAAUAACUGGUACUCCCAGAAUUGACCCUUUACGAGAGCCUUCUCCUCUGAAAUACUGCACGACUAUGCGAUUGCAGGACAAAGUACUUGGAAAUGUAUGUAAAGUCUGCUUCUGAACAGAUUCUAGUAAACUACGCCAGGAACAGACAGGAUUAUGAACAGGGAUGUACAGAAAGGGGUGUGUGGCGUUUUAUUCCAGAAAACUAAUGUUCUUCCUAUGGAAAAUUAAGACAGUCUCCAAAUCACAUCAUCAUGGAAUCUAUAGUAUUCUUCGGGGCCUCUUUGUGGCUAAGAAGACUUGAUGGUUGGAUCUUUGGAUGUGGAAUCUGUGAAUAUGAAGGGCCAAGUAGACAGUCCUCUGGAUUCUCACCUGAGCAUGGUAGAUUCCUAGUUCCAUCAACGAUGGAGAUACGAUGUGUGGGACUCCUGUGGAAAUCCUGGCUGGGCACCGGAGGGGAGAAACCAAACACUGGCUGCUGGAUCUGACUUCACGCAAACCUGAAAAACUGCCCAAACUCGGUUUCAGCACGGGGUGUCCAGACAGCCCUCUGUGGACUGUGGCCGUGAAAAACCAUCAGCCCAGACGAGCAAAUCCAGAGUCUACUAAAUACCAACAAUUGUCCUGCCCAGAGCCAUCCUGGGUCCUGUGGGGAUGGGUGAUUCUAGCCCAGGAAAUUAUAGGCUGUCCAGCCACCAGGCCUUCUAAAAAGAUUAUGGGGUGACUUACUGAUCUUUAGGUGGGUCAGGGGUUUUGAGGGCAGGUUAGAUUUAAAGCCUGUAGUUAGUGCUGAAAGGGCUGCGUCUGGAAUCUCAGGGGGAUGUAGGUGCCAUGGGAAAAGCACCAGGCAGAAAGGGAUCUAUCCGGGCCGCCAUCCUGGUUCCCACAGCCAGUGGGUGGACCUCCUCACGUACCCUUUCAGAGGCUCCGCUAGCUCCUUGGGGACAGGGAGGGGUCACAGCAGGCUGGUCAGCCCCUCUGUCUUCUAGAGUGGGAUACACAUUUCCCCAGCUGGUCAGCAUCAAGAGCACACCCCUUCUGUAAGAUACCUUCAAAGGACCCUUCUAUGGCUUGAUCCAUUUAAUUUUAAGUAAUUCUCCAUCAGAUAUUUCUAUUCCCGUUUGAUAGUUUUAUGGUGCUUCAGAGAAUCUGCUUUUAAUGAAUUUCAUAUUUAAUGAAAGAGGUCUCACUGGGGACAAGCACGAAAAGAGUGAAUGCAAGAGAAGCGUGUGGGAAGGGUCAGUGCGAAUGAGGACUUUUGGCACAUGUUGUGGGAUGAAUUGUGCCCCCUACCCCAUGAUCAUAUGUUCCAGCCCCCCACACCUCACCUCAGAAUGUGAUCUUAUUUGGCAAUAGGGUCAUUGAAGAUAAUAGGUUGUUAAAAUGAGGUCCUGCUGAAUUGGGGUGAUUAAGGCAGAGUCUGGGUGAUGAUUCAGUAGUCUGUGGGACCAAAGAUGGCCAGCAAAGAAGCUGGGAGAAAGGCUUGGGGCAGUCUCCCUCACAAUCCUCAGAAACAAGGAUUAAACCAAAUGAGCAGGAGGUCGUUGCCUGAGGAUGUCUCCACACUCACAGUUCCCAGGGCAUAAGCCACAACAUAACCUCUUAGUAUGUUUUUGGUAACAAGUGGGUUUCCAGCCAAUCACAGACCAUCAAAUUCAGCCAAUUACAAGCAGCCAAUUGAUCACAUGUUGCCCAAAUUAGGCAAAUAUCCUAUUGUAGCCAAUCAGGUGAUUUCUCUAUUUUGCAUCCAAGUUUGGUUUAUAAAAGGUCUUGUUCACCUCGAUGAGUGCAUCUCUCUCAAUCUUUUCUGAGUCUGAGCACUGCCUGAUUUAUGAAUCUUUUCUUACUCAAAUAAACUCUGUUGUAUUUAA